GUACGUAGUCUACCAAGUAAUAUAGUGGCCUUAAAAAAAGUUGAAUAUCAAUCCCACAGGGAUUUGUGUUAAACAACUAUCCAAUUCUAGUUUAACAAUUGAGAUAAAGUAACCAAGAAAGUUGUAGAAUUCUAAACUAAAAUUAAACUAAACUAAUGCUGUAAAAUAAUGACUUUUGAAAAUUAAUGAAUAGAGAUCCAAGGUUAAGGCUUACG
rnacentral:lncRNA from 1 species